rnacentral:rRNA from 1 species
UACGGAGGGGGCUAGCGUUGUCCGAAGUUACUGGGCGUAAAGCGCGCGUAGGCGGGUUGGUAAGUCCGCUGUGAAAGCCCGGAGCUCAACUCCGGAGGGUCGGUGGAUACUGCCAGUCUUGAAGGUGCUAGGGGGAGAUGGAAUUACCGGUGUAGCGGUGAAAUGCGUAGAUAUCGGUAGGAACACCAGUGGCGAAGGCGGUCUCCUGGGGCAUUCUUGACGCUGAGGCGCGAAAGCGUGGGGAGCAAACAGG